GUGAGGAAUAUUGCGCAAUGGAGGCAACUCUGACGCAGCCAUGCCGCGUGCAGGAAGAAGGCGCUACGCGUUGUAAACUGCUUUUAACCGGGAAGAAACCCCAGGACGUGUCCUGGGUUGACGGUACCGGAGGAAUAAGCACCGGCUAACUUCGUGCCAGCAGCCGCGGUAAUACGAAGGGUGCAAGCGUUAUCCGGAUUCAUUGGGUUUAAAGGGUGCGUAGGCGGAGAGUUAAGUCAGUGGUGAAAUCCUGCAGCUUAACUGUAGACUUGCAAUUGAUACUGGCGCUCUUGAGUGCGCUUGAAGUGGGCGGAAUGUGCCGUGUAGCGGUGAAAUGCUUAGAUAUGGCACAGAACACCAAUUGCGAAGGCAGCUCACUAAGGCGAUACUGACGCUGAGGCACGAAAGCGUGGGGAUCGAACAGGAUUAGAAACCCCGGUAGUCC
rnacentral:rRNA from 1 species